rnacentral:lncRNA from 1 species
UCGUUACUGUCCAUAACACUACUGCAAUGUCAAUGUCAAUAUUCUUUUUAAAACCAAAACAAGUCCACCCAAGUAUUGUGAUAAACAUCUUUUUUAAAUAAUAUUAAAUCUUAAUGCCCUCGGCCGGCAAAAACUCAUACCGGAAAACCUAUUUGAUAGCAAGCCAAGGUCUUCCAAAGCACUGGUCAUCAAAAACUUAAACAUUAUUAUCAGGAAAAGAAGAAACUAAAUUUAGUGGGAACUCUCUCAAUGCAUAUCAUUCAUCUUAUCAUAAUCCAGCAACAAAGAGCUAAUCUACUAUUUGAUACUAGUAGAAUUCAUACGAAGUCGAGAAAGAUGGAGAGAAAUGUGAGCAAAUGAGCUAAGCUGUUCAAUACUGUUUGAAUCUCCACCAAAGAGCAAGUGUGCUGCACUCUCCCGUAACCCGGUUUUAUUUUCCUCAAUCAUGGUCAAGUUGUACAUUUACAGAACUUUGAGGGUCGAUUUAUCGAGUUUUUUUUCUUCGAUUGUCGCUGUGUUCAAAGAGGUAAACUUGGAUGGUUUCUACAAAUUUAAGCCUAUUUUUUACCUAUUUCUAAAAAUAGAAAGUCUUUUAGAUAUUUAUUAUCAGACUGGCAAGCAUAGUCCUGACGAUUUUUUGACCCGCUAUUGAGUACUAUUAGAUUAAUUUACUUUUGAUAAUAUUCAACUAAUAUUUGGUUGUGUUUACGAAAUAUUUAAUAUUUUUGAUAAUAUUCAACUUGUUGUAAAUCUUGUAAUUAUAUACUAUUAAACUAUACAACGAUAGGACAGAAACUAUCUUAUAAAGUAUAAAGAGAAUAGGAGAUGGGGAGAGAAAGUAGUUGUAUUUCAGAAUAUUUCAGAAUAGAAUUCAUUUCAACUGAACCAGCUAUUUAUAGAGGUUGGUUGAUGAAUCUUCCUAACUAUGAUUUGCAAUACUUCUAGGUUAGUAUUACGAUUCUUCUCGAGUAAGUAUCGUAAGUCUUCCUCGAUAAGCUAUACGAGUCUUCCUUAGUAAGUUUUGCCAGACUUCCUUGAUAAGCUUUGCGAGUCUUCCUUAGUAAGUUUCACCAGACUUCCUUGAUAAGAUUUGCGAGUAUUCUUGACUAAGUUUUUGACAAUCACAUAAUAUAUUAUUUUAUAACACAACUAAAAUAGUUGGAGAUCAAUUUACGGGAUUUGUGUUUAUGUAUUGAAAGCAUCGCAUACUAGAAACAGGGAGCUUACUCUGUAGCAUGAUAUUUUCCAUGACAUUUCCCGCAACUCAGGUCAGUAAGUUAUUAAGAAUCAUUUGCUCAAUAUUUUGUUUCCAGAGGUCCAUUUUCUCCAGUAGAUCUAAAUGAAUAAAACUGUUUUCUGUUAAAUUCCAUUUUACAGUAAUGGAAUUUCUGUUCUUAGCAGAAGCUAGUUGAUCUGAUACAAUUUUUUCAGCAACAAUCCUUAAAUACAGUAAUGAACAUUAUUAGCAGAGUAAACAUACAAGGAUAGAGGAGGUGACUCCUGUUUAUGCGAUAAGCAUAACAAGUUUGCAGGAAAUUUAAAACUAGAAUUUAUAAAUGUCUUUCAGAUAUUCUUGUUCUUCAAAAGAAGAACAAGUUUGUCCAAAUUAAGGGAAGAUGAGCCAUCUGGCGCACAAGCCUUCUUUGCCAAAUUCUUCCAUUCUGUUGCCUUGUUUCUCAUUUUCUUACCCUCUGCUCCAUCCAUUAGUACAGUUAAACCUCUUUAAAGUAAUACCUCUCGGACCGGGAAAAAAUAUUACUUUACCGAAUUUAUUAUUUUAUCGAUAUAAUAAUAAUUUAUUACUUUAUCGAUAAAGUAAUAUUUUAUUAUUUUACCAAAUUUCUAUAUGUUUAAAAAUUAUAAUUCAUUAUUUUUAAAAACAAGAUUCAGUCAAAUGCAAUGUAUUUGAUUUAAAAUUACUUUUAUAAUAAUUAAUCAUAUGUGAAAACUAAAUUAAUGCAUGCACUAGAUAGAGUACACAUGUUACAACAUGAGCAAAACAUACCGGAGUUAUUUAUCCUUUACAUAAAGUCAAGGAUGAGGUUAAUUUUUGCCUUGGUGGAAAGAAGAAACAAGCUACUGUAGAUUCAUAUUUUAAAAAGGAUUGAAUUAUGAAUUCAUAUAUAUUGAUUCAUAUUUUAAAAAGAGCUAAAAUCUGUAAUUCAUAUACAUCACACACACACACAUAUAUAUAAUUCAUGAAUUAUUACUUUACAUAUUACCUGGGCCUUUAAUGAAUCUCUAAAUUUUUAUUAUCUUAUACGUUUAGCGAAAAUAUUACUUUACGACAUUGGCCAAAGUUGGGACCGACAAAAUUUAUUACUUAAGCGAGGUUAUUACUUUAUUGGAUAUUACUUAGUUGAGGUUUAACUGUAGUCUAACAAGUUUCUCCACAUCAUCUCGCUUGACGUUAUUAGGAAUCUCCAAUCCGCA